GCGGUGCCAACCGAGGCUGUGCGCCCGCCCCGGACAUUGCAGGACGCAGGACCCCCUCCUUCAGAGGUCCUCAGCAAAGCACCCCCACAUAGAUCAAUUCAUUCAUUCAACAAAUGAAUAUUUGAGGGAAGAGGCUCCAGAUGGAGGGAAGAGCCAGUGCAAUGCCUCAAAAUGGAGAUAUGGUGUAUUAAUGGAGAAGCAGCAGGACUUGUGAAGCCUGGGACGAGGGCUUGGGGUCUUAUUCUCAAUAUGAUAGAAAAUGAUUCAAGGCUGAGAACAGGAGAGUGGCAGGAUAUACUGACAUAUUUAAAUCUCACUGUCUCCCACAAAGAACAAGUUUUAUCUCUCCUCAUGCUCCUGAGAGAAGAAUGUACUACUUACCUGCCAUCAUUCUGCAUCCAUCAAAACAUCUGGGUUUACCUGAAAAAAAAAUUAUA
rnacentral:sRNA from 1 species